UGAGAGUAACUGUUCAUACGUUGACGGUAUUUAACCAGAAAGUCACGGCUAACUACGUGCCAGCAGCCGCGGUAAUACGUAGGUGGCAAGCGUUAUCCGGAUUUAUUGGGCGUAAAGAGAGUGCAGGCGGUUUUCUAAGUCUGAUGUGAAAGCCUUCGGCUUAACCGGAGAAAGUGCAUCGGAAACUGGAUAACUUGAGUGCAGAAGAGGGUAGUGGAACUCCCAUGUGUAGCGGUGGAAUGCGUAGAUAUAUGGAAGAACACCAGUGGCGAAGGCGGCUACCUGGUCUGCAACUGACGCUGAGACUCGAAAGCAUGGGUAGCGAACAGGAUUAGAUACCCUGGUAG
rnacentral:rRNA from 1 species